CCCCGGGUAGCUCAGUUAGUGGAGCGUCUGACUGUAGACAGAUAUCAGGUAGUCGGCGGUUCGAUUCCGUCCCACGGGA
rfam:Gregarina niphandrodes unplaced genomic scaffold scaffold00248, whole genome shotgun sequence.